GUUGAUCCUGCGGGAGAUUGCUGCUAUUGGAGUUCGACUAAGCCAUGCAAGUUCAGAGGAAGUUUACUUCCUCAGCAAAAUGCUCAGUAACACGUCAAUAAUCUACCCUUGAGUCAGGGAUAACUUCAGGAAACUGAGGAUAAUACCUGAUAAGAAAUAAGAUUUGGAAAGACUUAUUUCUCAAAGAUUACGCUCAAGGAUGAGUUGGCGGCUGAUUAGGUCGUUGGUGAGGUAAAGGCUCACCAAGCCAAAGAUCAGUAGGGGCCUUGAAAGAGGGAGCCCCGAGAAGGUCACUGAGAUACUGGACCUAGCCUUACGGGGUGCAGCAGGCGCGUAACCUUUACAAUACACGAAAGUGUGAUAAGGGAACUCCAAGUGCUCAUGUUUUCAUGGGCUUUUGCCAAGAGUAAAUAUCUUGGAGAAUAAGUGGUGGGCAAGACCGGUGCCAGCAGCCGCGGUAACACCGGCGCCACAAGUGGUGAUCAGCAUUAUUGGGCCUAAAGCGUUCGUAGCUGGUUGGAUAAAUUUUCUGUGAAAGUGCCAAGCUUGACUUGUCAUAUUACAUAAAACACUGUUCAACUUGAGACCGGGAGGGGUAAGAGGAAUUCCUUGGGAAGCGGUAAAAUGCUAUAAUCCUAGGAAGACCACCGAUGGCGAAGGCAUCUUACCAGAACGGUUCUGACAGUGAGGAACGAAAGCCAGGGGAGCAAACCGGAUUAGAUACCCGAGUAGUCCUGGCCGUAAACGCUGCGAGCUAGGUGUUGCAUAUUCUUCGGGAAUUUGCAGUAUCGAAGCGAAGGUGAUAAGCUCGCCGCCUGGGAAGUAUGGUCGCAAGGCUGAAACUUAAAGGAAUUGGCGGGGGAGCACUACAAGGGGUGCGGCGUGCGGUUUAAUCUAACUCCACACAGAGAAUCUCACCAGAAGCGACGGCAGUAUGAAGGUCAAGCUGAAGACUUUACCUGACAAGCCGAGAGGUGGUGCAUGGCCGCCGUCAGCUCGUGCCGUGAGGUGUCCAGUUAAGUCUGGUAACGAGCAAGACCUGUAUCUACAAUUGCUAACGACUAAUUUUUUAGGAUUGAGCACAUUGUAGGGACUGCCCUGGAAACAGGGAGGAAGGUGCAGGCUACGGUAGGUCUGUAUGCCCCGAAUCUUCUGGGCUACACGCGCGCAACAAUGGUAAAGACAAUGGGAUGCAACUCUGAAAAGAGAAGCUAAACCUCGAAACUUUAUCUCAGUUCAGAUUGAGGAUUGUAACUCAUCCUCAUGACGUUGGAAUCCCUAGUAAUCGGAGUUUAUCAGACUCCGGUGAAUACGUCCCUGCUCCUUGCACACACCGCCCGUCAAACCAACCGAGCAGGGUUUAGAUGAGCUUUAGUUUCUUGAUUAGAGCGAAUCUAGAUUCAGUGAGGUGGGUUAAGUCGUCACAAGGUC
rnacentral:rRNA from 1 species